rnacentral:misc_RNA from 1 species
AAGUCGUAACAAGGUUUCCGUAGGUGAACCUGCGGAAGGAUCAUUACCAAUUAAUCCAAAAUCUCUCAACCCAUGUGAACGAUGAUUGAAUGUCUGUCUUUGGGGUGGUAUAAUAGCUUUUGGUGCUUUCUUAAGGAAAGGACCGUCAGUUUGUCACCCCAUAUGAUUUCAACCCUUUUAAUUUUUGUUUUGGCAUUUUGUCUUGUAAUUAAUACAACAAAGGACAACUUUUAACGGUGGAUCUCUUGGCUCGUG